CGUUUAGACAUCACGGCAAGCAGAGCAGGUUUAGGGACAGUGAUUUUCUUCUCUCGUCCUCCAGGAUUUCACCAGAAGGCAUGAGGUCUCCCAUAAUGAGAAAGGUUUCAGCAGAGGAGGAAGAAUUAAUGUACCUGGAGUUCAUUACAGGCGUAGCGAAUGAGAUCUUAAUGCAAGGCCUUUA